UUGGUAGCAGCAGGCAGGCAGGCAGGCUGGGAGUUUGCAUGGAAAUCAUGAACUCUUUCUUGUCUUUCCCUUUUGAAACGUUUUGGAAUGAGAGUUAAGAAUAGCUCAGAAACUGGUCUCAUUUUUGGUAUGGGAAGAAUGACCAGAAACAUAAAAGCUAAAUCUUCCAGCAAGUGCCAGACACUUCUUUUGGUGUUUGCAGUAAACCUCGCAGGAUGAAUCGCUGUCUGUAAAGUCCUGUGCCAUGACACCUAAAAUGAGGGAAUGGCAAAGCAAAAUACUAACACAAAGGCUGCUACCGAGAGCUUUUUGUCUACCUUUAACUCAUUGUGAAACGAGAGAAAACAAAGUGAAGUGGCUCUAAGUUUCUGCUUUCUGCUGUAGUCUGAUUUUGGCAAAACAGGUUCCAUAGUGGACGGAAUGAGAAAUUGUCUUCAAAUGAUUCCCAUGAAGAAUUGCAAAGACAAAAAUUAUUCAGCAAUGGUUUCUUCAAUCCAGUGGAUAGUGAAGGUACCUGCCACAUAGCUGUUAAUGUACCUUAUCUCCUGUGACAACUAAUGGGUGAUUUGAUGCCAAGAGGACCAUUGAGAAAAGUCAAUGGUGGAUUUAAAAAUUGAGCACGCGGAACACGAUCAGGAAGGAGUGGAAGAAGUCAUUCAUGUGCCAGCGUGGGAGCGUGCAGUCUUCAUUGAUCUUGCAGACACAUUCUUUGUAGCUCUUACCAAAGAGCUGCAUGCCAACCACGGCAAAAAUGAAGACGAUGAUGGCCAACACCAAGGCAGAGAGUUUGAUGAGAAGCUGGAGGGCCACUAGAGCUGUCCAGGAUGCAUCAUCAUCAAGGAGAUGGUCUUCAAAGCCAUGGGAUUUGUGGAGUUUGUCCAGAGAGAAGGUGUAGUGGGGGAAGAAGAGGAAGGGAAAGGAGGACUGACUGGAAUAGGGGAUGAAGGAAGAAGAGAGAAGAAAGGAGAGCCCUUAACUGAGUUCCAAAUACUGUUAAAGAGGCAAAGCAGUACUAUAAAUGAAUAAAAUUUGUUUUCCUAAAUUCUCUUACUGUUCUUUCACCAAUGUUUAUUUAAGAUCUACUCAUUUCCAGGAAUUGAAGAUAUAACAGUGAAAUAAAUGCACUUUACAGUUUACAU